GUGGAUCGGUUGAAAACCGGUGCAAGUUCUUGAUUCAGAUAGUUCGAGCAGUGGUUGGAGCAAUAGGUGCUGAUAGAAUUGGUGUCAGAAUUUCACCGGCUAUUGAUCACAUGGAUGCCAUUGACUCUGAUCCACUUAUCCUAGGUCUGGCAGUGAUUGAAAGGCUCAACAAGCUUCAACAAAACCGGGGCUCAAAACUGACCUAUCUUCAUGUAACUCAGCCUCGUUACGCAGCUUAUGGUCAAGCGGAAGCUGGAAAACCUGGCAGUGAUGAAGAGGAAGCUGUGUUUAUGAGGACUUUGAGGAAAGCAUAUCACGGUACAUUUAUUGCUAGUGGAGGGUUCACUCGAGAGCUUGGAAU
rnacentral:lncRNA from 1 species